UACGUAGGGGGCAAGCGUUGUCCGGAUUUAUUGGGCGUAAAGAGCGUGUAGGCGGCCAGACAGGUCCGUUGUGAAAACUCGAGGCUCAACCUCGAGAUGUCGAUGGAAACCGUCUGGCUAGAGUCCGGAAGAGGAGUGUGGAAUUCCCGGUGUAGCGGUGAAAUGCGCAGAUAUCGGGAGGAACACCAAUGGCGAAGGCAGCUCGCUGGGACGGUACUGACGCUGAGGAGCGAAAGCGUGGGGAGCGAACAGG
rnacentral:rRNA from 1 species